GCGCCCUUAGCUCAGUUGGAUAGAGCAACGGCUAAGCCGUGGGUCGCAGGUUCGAAUCCUGCAGGGCGCGCUA
rnacentral:tRNA from 1 species